UUCCAGGCAGCCCCUCUCCUCUAUCAAGUAACAAAACCCUGUGCAGAAGCUGUCUAUCAUCAGCUGCUGGAUGAAGAUUCUCCUGAGGUGCCAUUCGAAGGAAGGAAAAUGCAGAGUCUAGAGGAAGAGAAGCGGUAAGUUCAAGAUGCUGGCUGCACACCAAAGAAGCCUCUUAUAGCAGUGGCUCCUAGCUGGGUCGUGGGACAAUGACAGCCAGCACCUUUGCUGUGUGGACCCAGUGGUUCCUUUUCCCUUUGUCUGUCUUCUCCCCAUCACCCACUGCUGGGGCCUUGUCCAUUCCAGCCCAGCAGGUCAGGCCUUGGCCUAGCCCACCACGAGUGGCCAGUCCCCACAUCCCAUCGUCCUGGGUCUAAUGGCACAUGCAGAUUAAUCAUUCCAGGCAUUUUUCUGCUUGAUUCCAGGCUCUCUCUGGAUCUAUUGAAACAUUUACAGCACCCCACACGCUCCAAGAAAACAAAUGAUCUGCCAAGUGUGUUGGAAAGAAAAGUGGGUUGGAAAUCAGGAUGGAAGGAAGGAGUCCGUGGACGGCCCGAGACUCUAAUUUGUUGUUCCACUGUGAGCUCUCAGCGGCCUUGUUCUUCCCCUCACCUGUAAGAAGGAGGUGUUUUUAACGAUGUUUAACCUUGCUUGUUGGUGAAAUUUCUGAGGCAGUGCCUCAAAGUGAGCUGAAAGGGAGAAAGGGGGAGGGAAGGAAGAAGGGCAGAUACCCUCAAACUUUAAGCAGAGAAUCCAACUUUUAUCGUUCCACCCAAG
rnacentral:lncRNA from 1 species